rnacentral:tRNA from 1 species
GGUCCGUUGGUGUAAUGGUCAACACUACCUAACCUGGCGUAUCGUCGUGCUGGACGCGGCCUUACGUCAGCGUGGAAGUUACCGGUUCGACUCCGGUACGGGCCA